rnacentral:rRNA from 1 species
UACGAAGGGUGCAAGCGUUACUCGGAAUUACUGGGCGUAAAGGGUGCGUAGGUGGUUUGUUAAGUCUGCUGUGAAAUCCCCGGGCUCAACCUGGGAAUGGCAGUGGAUACUGGACGGCUAGAAUGCGGUAGAGGGUAGUGGAAUUCCCGGUGUAGCAGUGAAAUGCGUAGAGAUCGGGAGGAACACCAGUGGCGAAGGCGGCUACCUGGACCAGCAUUGACACUCAAGCACGAAAGCGUGGGGAGCAAACAGG